GUACAUGCAAUUCUAACGCUUUGAUUUUCACCGGAGCUUGCUCCACCGAAAAUCAAAGAGUGGCGGACGGGUGAGUAACACGUGGGCAACCUGCCCAACAGAGGGGGAUAACACUUGGAAACAGGUGCUAAUACCGCAUAAUUUGUUUUCCCGCAUGGGAGAAUAAUAAAAGACGCUUCGGUGUCACUGUUGGAUGGGCCCGCGCUGCAUUAGUUAGUUGGUGGGGUAAUGGCCUACCAAGACCGUGAUGCAUAGCCGACCUGAGAGGGUGAUCGGCCACACUGGGACUGAGACACGGCCCAGACUCCUACGGGAGGCAGCAGUAGGGAAUCUUCGGCAAUGGACGAAAGUCUGACCGAGCAACGCCGCGUGAGUGAAGAAGGUUUUCGGAUCGUAAAACUCUGUUGUUAGAGAAGAACAAGUGGGAGAGUAACUGUUCCCACCUUGACGGUAUCUAACCAGAAAGCCACGGCUAACUACGUGCCAGCAGCCGCGGUAAUACGUAUGUGGCAAGCGUUGUCCGGAUUUAUUGGGCGUAAAGCGAGCGCAGGCGGUUUCUUAAGUCUGAUGUGAAAGCCCUCGGCUCAACCGAGGAAGGUCAUUGGAAACUGGGGAACUUGAAUGCAGAANANGAGAGUGGAAUUCCAUGUGUNACGGUGAAAUGCGUAUAUAUAUGGGAGGAACACCAGUGGCGA
rnacentral:rRNA from 3 species